ensembl:lncRNA
AUCUGCUCAUGAUCCAAAACAUACAAGCUCAUCUGUGAAACAUGGUGGAGGAAUCUGAGUAACAUAAUGGCAAGAAAGAGAGAAAACAAAUGCCACAAGGGUCCCGUGCAUUUUUCUCUGACUCCAGGCACCUGAUAUGCUUAAUUAUACAGACUUCACUGAAGUGUACAGGAUGGAUGUACUGUCGGAGCAGCCUGUGGCAAAAUGCGUGAUCCUGUACAGGGCAGCAAUGCAGAUGAAGAUAAAGAUGAAGAUGUAAUCACUGGCAUAUGAAGGAAUGUACAGUACAUGAAGGAGCGCAUUCUUUUUCUCAAUGUGUAGCCUGAGGGGUGUGGAAAAGGAGGGCAGAGGGAGAGAGGACCAUAUGCAGCCUCACAAGGAAGCUAAACUGGCACUCUCUCUGUGUGUCCUGAAGACAUGCCUCAUCUGUGCUGCUGGACGUGUGUCUGACGCCAGGCGGAACUGAGUUUGCCUGGAGCAGAGAGAUGGAGAAACGGGGAGACCGAGAUACCGGAAACUGUAUAGGAGUGUACAGUCAUGUCUAUUGGCACGAGUUAACGGAUUUAUCACCGUGUGAAGAGGAAGAGGGAGAGAUUUACUAUGAGUUCUCAAGCUUGCCAGCACCGAGGAACCUGGUCUGACCAAUUUUCAGCACCCUUUACUAAAAUAUGGAGCGUUUCUUCAGAGCUGCUGAUUUGGAUUCAGUGUUUUCAGAGAGGUUGAAGUGACAACACGGAGUUGAAAGCUGUUCUGGGAUCAGUGUGUGCUGCAGAGCUGAAUUUGAAGUGUGAGGAGAAAUUUCGACAUGGCUCAAGCCUGUCUGAUGUACGGUAAAGGGUUUACGACAGGAAUGACUCGGCUGUACAUUCAAACACUCGGCUUCACCUCCAUUUGUAGAUAACCAAGUUAGCAUGCGCGUAAAUAAUCAUCGUAGCUGUGGCGCUUCAGACCUGUAAGCUCUAAACUGGCCGAGUGUGUCAGAGUGUGUGUUAUGUAGUGAUUUCACUGCAGGCUUGGGUUCCACGGUGAGUGUGUUUAGCACAGCAUAACAGCCUUUUCAUUUCACUUGAUGCGUUUGACUCAAUAAAGCUCAGA